rnacentral:rRNA from 1 species
UGAGGAAUAUUGGUCAAUGGGGGCAACCCUGAACCAGCCAAGUCGCGUGAAGGAUGAAGGUCUUAUGGAUUGUAAACUUCUUUUACACGGGAAUAAAGUGGGGGACGUGUCCCCCUUUGCAUGUACCGUGUGAAUAAGGAUCGGCUAACUCCGUGCCAGCAGCCGCGGUAAUACGGAGGAUCCGAGCGUUAUCCGGAUUUAUUGGGUUUAAAGGGUGCGCAGGCGGGAUGUUAAGUCGGCGGUGAAAUUUUGCAGCUCAACUGUAAAAGUGCCUUCGAUACUGGCCUCCUUGAGUGUGGGUGAAGUAGGCGGAAUUUGCGGUGUAGCGGUGAAAUGCUUAGAUAUCACGAGGAACUCCGAUUGCGCAGGCAGCUUACUAAGCCACAACUGACGCUCAUGCACGAAGGCGUGGGGAUCAAACA